UAAACAGAAGCCUGUGGCACUCGGCUGUUAACCGAGACUAAGCCAGUAUAAAUUCUGGCCUGUUUAG
rnacentral:tRNA from 1 species